GUUAUUUGUUAUAUGAACUAAGUGAGAAAUAAUUCAAUAUAACUAAACAUGGCAGUAAGUAGUAGCUAAAUAAUAAUAUCCCUAUUGCUACAGUCUAUAAAUAGGACUACUUGAUAAAUCAGUGAAAUUUCAAGUUUUCAAAGUAGGUUGAUGUUGUUGAUACCGGAGAGAGUUCGCAGAGAGAAGUUUGCCAACUAUGUCUUACUCUCACAUGUGCAUGAGUUAAUCGUUCUAUUUUGUAUAGACUUAGUAGAAAUAAAAUGGCUGUCCUAUUGCCUUUCAAACAGACUCAGUCGUAAAUGAACAACAACUAUAAUUAGUAAGAGAAAAUAUUAAUUAAUAAACACAUUAAAUAGAAAGGUAAACCUAACUUUCACUUAAGUUGUUGUGUAUAGCUAAAAGGUAACUACUUACUUUUGUGUAACUAAUAAAAGUAAUUGUAAAAUUGAGGUGUCCUCCUUCGAAAAUGACCAUCUGAUUUUUGUCAAUCGUGAUACAAUUUUUCGGUUUCAGUUAAUAUUCUUUUAUCUCUUUUCUGUCUUAUAUGUUUGGUUUACCCAUUGCUAUAUCUUAAGUAGAUCAUGAAAUUAAAUAAUUCUUUAACGAUCUUCAUUUAUAUUGUCCAUAAUGAUUACUAAUUUUGAACACAUUUCAAUGUUAUUGGCGAAAUUGUGAGCUAUGAAGACGUACAAUCUAUCAAACAAGAUGAUAGCAUCCGUAUGUUCAUGAACAUUGAGAUACAAGAUUAUGAGAGCAAUACUGUUGCUGCAACUCUUUGGGGAGACUUUGUCGAACAGAUCAAGCUGUAUUUGAAUGGAUCCAAUGAUAAGCCUGUUGUCAUCGUCAUGCAAUUGAUUAGAGCACAUCGAUACCGAGAACAAUAUUCGGUGAGGAACACUUGGCACGCGUCGAAGCUUUGGAUCAAUUCAAAUCUUCCUCAAGUUGUUGACUUUUGCUCCAGAAUGGUUUCUGUGCGUGGAGAAAGCUCACAAAGAAUUACUCAAAUUUCAUCUCACAAACUCAUUCUAUUGCUGAUGAGCUAGCAUCUGGAAGCAUUGAAGUUAAAACUAUUGAGGAUCUGAGUGACUGUAAGCAUGAGAUUUUUGGGUUGUAGCAACUAUUGUACACGUAGAAUUAGACCAUGGAUGGUGUUAUUUAGCAUGCAAAAAUUGCACAAAGAAACUAGACAAAGAGGGAAAAAAAUUCUAUUGUAAAAAAUGCGAGCAGAUUCAAUCUCCCACUCAUAGGUACAGGCUACAAGUUAAGGUGAUGGAUUGCACCGGUACUAUUUCUUUGCUGUUGUGGGAUAAGGAUGCAGCUAAGAUUAUUGGAAAAUUGGCAAAUGAUUUAAAGGAUGCUGUAUUCGAGAAUUAUGGUGCUGCAGACGACUCUUCAUGUCCAAUGGAGAUAGAAAAUAUUGUUGAUAAAAAGUUUAUGUUUAAAGUGGAGGUUAAGAGUUCCAACGGUAAGAAUCAAGAUGAUGUCUUGAAAGUUAUUACACUUAGUGACGGCGAACAUUCUUCUGAUGUCUAAGGUGGACUAAUCCUUUUUAAAGCCAAAUACUUAUGUAGCAUUACUCCAAUAUACUCCAUCAUUAACAUCCAGUGUGGGUCAACCCCACCUAUCUUUUCCUUAUAAAGGAAAAGACAAUAUCCAGUCCUUAGCCUCAAAAGCUGCUGAACAUGGUCCUGUUGUGCUGUUACCUUCUUCUGGUCUACCUAAGCCUGUGGCUCAUAAUGUUCCCAAAGCUGCACCAGCUGUGCAAAAAAAGGUGGAAAGUUUAGAACUUUUGAAGGAAGAAUUGCGCAAGAAGCAGGAGCUGCAUUGUAUACUAUAUUUGUUUCAUUCAUUAAAUCAGAUCCAAUAAUACAUACGUUGCUUCCAAUUUCGUCGAAACGAGAGGUUCUUGAUGUUAAUGGGAAAAGAGUUGAUGUAGAUGAAGAUGAGUUCUUAGGUUGACUACUAAGGAGGGGGAAAUGAUUGUUGAGAGGGAUCAUUUGAGGGUUAAAAGGGAAAGUUAGUUGUGUUAAUUAGACUUUUAGCAAGAUCCAGCUCAGAUUUUUGAUGCUUUGAUGCCACUCUAUUUGAGUAGCCAGAUUUUUAGGGCACUUCAAGAUUCAUUUGCCAGUGAGUUUGCUGCUAGGAUGAAUGCAAUGAGUAAUGCCACGGAUGAUGCAGUUGACUUAAAGAGGAACCUUUCGAUUGCUUAUAACCGGGAAAGGCAGGCGAGGAUCACCGGCGAGAUAUUGGAGAUUGUUGCUGGAGCAGAUGCACUUCACAUAGUUGCACUGAAUCUGGUAUCUGAAUUCCUCAUUGUUUCAUAAUUUGGAUAUCCUUAUUUCAUUUUCAUUUGCUGAAUCUGCUCCUUUUAAUGUAUGCAUUUCAUCUAACACUUGAACUGUUAUA